rnacentral:rRNA from 1 species
CCUACGGGGGGCAGCAGUAAGGAAUAUUGGACAAUGCCCGCAAGGGUGAUCCAGCCAUGCCGCGUGCAGGAAGACGGCCCUAUGGGUUGUAAACUGCUUUUACACCGGAGAAAACCCCCCUUCGUGAAGGGGGCUGAUAGUAUGGUGAGAAUAAGCAUCGGCUAACUUCGUGCCAGCAGCCGCGGUAAGACGAAGGAUGCAAGCGUUAUCCGGAUUCAUUGGGUUUAAAGGGAGCGUAGGUGGCCUUGUAAGUCAGUGGUGAAAUCUCUGGGCUUAACCCAGAAAUUGCCAUUGAUACUGCAGGGCUUGAGUACAGAUGCCGUUGGCGGAAUAUGACAUGUAGUGGUGAAAUACAUAGAGAUGUCAUAGAACACCGAUUGCGAAGGCAGCUAACGAAACUGUAACUGACACUGAGGCUCGAAAGUGUGGGGAUCAAAC